AAUGAACGUUGGCGGCGUGGAUUAGGCAUGCAAGUCGAGCGAGAACCCCGCAAGGGGGGACAGCGGCAAACGGGGUAGUAAUGUGUCGGAACGUGCCCAGAGGACGGGGAUAGCGGCGGGAAACUGCCGGUAAUACCCGAUGAUCUCGAGAGAGCAAAGGUGUGAUUCCGCCUUUGGAGCGGCCGACAUGGUAUUAGCUAGUUGGCGGGGUAACGGCCCACCAAGGCUGUGAUGCCUAGGGGAUGUGAGAGCAUGAUCCCCACCAUUGGGACUGAGACACUGCCCAGACACCUACGGGUGGCUGCAGUCGAGAAUCUUCGUCAAUGGGCGAAAGCCUGAACGAGCGACGCCGCGUGCGGGAUGAAGGCCUUUGGGUUGUAAACCGCUGUCGAGGGGGAUGAAGGCUUGAAAGUCAUCUUUCAAGUUUGACAGAGCCCUGGAGGAAGCACGGGCUAAGUUCGUGCCAGCAGCCGCCGUAAAAC
rnacentral:rRNA from 1 species